UAUUUGAGAAUAAUACAUAAAUAAAGGCAACAGUAGUAUACCGCUGUUCAAAACUCAUAAAUCCAUGGACAAAAAACAAAAUCGGGGUAACAAACUAAAACCGAGGGAAACGCAUUAAAUAUAAGAGGAGAACAACGACACAACACCGAAACGCAACACACACAGAAACGGACCAAGCAACAGACAAAACACCACGAGAAUAACAAAUAUAACAUCAAAACCAAAUACAUGAAUUUGGGAUAGACAAGUACCGUGCCACGUCUUAUCUCAAAAAUAAGAGAAAACACAAACGACUCAACGUUAAAAUGCAACACACACAGAAACGAACAAUAUUAUAACAAUGGCCAUCUUCCUGACUUGGUACAGGACACUUUUAAAGGGGAAUAAAAGUGGUGGGUUGAACCUGGUUUUAUGGCAUGCCAAACCUCGCACUUUAAUGGCAAAGUUAAAUAUAACAUUGAAAUGACAACACAAUAUUACAGGACUACAACACAAACAAAAAGGAGACCAUAUUAGACAAAGAAAAACAUGAUUAAUAGAUAACAAAAAGCAUCAGGUUUAAAAUUCAAUACGCC
rnacentral:lncRNA from 1 species